CCUACGGGAGGCAGCAGUGAGGAAUAUUGGUCAAUGGGCGGAAGCCUGAACCAGCCAAGUCGCGUGAGGGAAUAAGGCCCUACGGGUCGUAAACCUCUUUUGCCGGGGAGCAAGUGCCGGGACGAGUCCCGGUCCGGAGAGUACCCGAAGAAAAAGCAUCGGCUAACUCCGUGCCAGCAGCCGCGGUAAUACGGAGGAUGCGAGCGUUAUCCGGAUUUAUUGGGUUUAAAGGGUGCGUAGGCGGGCUUUUAAGUCAGCGGUAAAAAUUCGGGGCUCAACCCCGUCGGGCCGUUGAAACUGGUGUCCUUGAGUGGGCGAGAAGAAGGCGGAAUGCGUGGUGUAGCGGUGAAAUGCAUAGAUAUCACGCAGAACCCCGAUUGCGAAGGCAGCCUUCCGGCGCCCUACUGACGCUGAGGCACGAAAGCGCGGGGAUCGAACAGGAUUAGAUACCCUAGUAGUC
rnacentral:rRNA from 1 species